rnacentral:rRNA from 1 species
CAAUAGCGUAUAUUAAAGUUGUUGCAGUUAAAAAGCUCGUAGUUGGACUUCUGCGGGUGGCGGCCGGUCGUGCUCGAAACGGGCGUGAACUUGGCGUGCUGCCCGCAUCUUUGGGGAGAUUGUGCGUGGCAUUAAGUUGUCGUGCAUGGGAUUCUCAUCAUUUACUGUGAAAAAAUUAGAGUGUUUAAAGCAGGCCUUUGCCUUGAAUACAUUAGCAUGGAAUAAUAAGAUAGGACCGUUGUCUAUUUUGUUGGUUUACAGAUGUCGGUAAUGAUUAAUAGGGAUAGUUGGGGGUAUUCGUAUUCAGUUGUCAGAGGUGAAAUUCUUGGAUUUUCGGAAGACGCACGGCUGCGAAAGCAUUUACCAAGGAUGUUUUCAUUAA